GAUUUCGAACAAAAUCCGCGGAACCCUAAACCCUCACUCUCACUCUCACCCUCACUCGGCAGUGGGGAUCAUCCCCCUCAAACCACAGCGCCGCGGGCCUCAACAUUCCGCCCCGCUCCAACCACGGUGCCGCGGGCCGGCGGCCGCCGAUCAUCUCCUCGGCGUGGGGAUCCUGUUGCUUUGGUCACGAUUUUUUGCUCGAUUGGACUAGUUGAAGAUGGCAAGUUCUUCAAGAGCAACAAAUGCAUUGGAUGAGGCAAAUGUGGGGGAGGCUGCUGAUCUCAAUCUUCAGCCGUUUAGUUCCCUGUUGAAGAUGCCAUUUACGGAGCAUCGGGUGUCAAAAGUUUGUGAUAAUGCUAAGGUUUGUUUAAAAUGUAUAGCUCACCAUCUCAAGAUGCCAUACAAUGACUUGUAUGGACCAGGUCUGAAGAAAUCGGAACUUUAUUAUGUAUCUCGUUUGGGAGAUAUAAGAAUUGACAAAGGUCUUAUUACUGCACUUGUUGAGAGGUGGAGACCCGAAACAGCAACAUUUCAUCUUCCUGUGGGUGAGAUGACUAUCACUCUACAAGACGUUGGCUGUCUAUUAGGAUUACCUAUCGAAGGACACCCAAUUACUGGUGUGUGUGAGAAGAAUUGGAGCAGUGCCAUUGAGGAAGAUCUAGGUAGACCCUGUACAAAUGAGAUAUGGAAAAUGAAGUCCCGGAGAAAAGAUGGGAUAAGAGUUGUCAAGUAUUCUCGAUUCAGGCUUCGCUUGCGAUGGUUGAAAGAUGAAUUCAGUGAGCUGCCACAAAACCCUACCCAGGACCAAAUAGAUCAGCACACACGUGCGUUUACCCUUUAUUUGCUAGGAUCUGUGCUUUUUCCAGACAGCACUGGAGACGGCGUGCCAGCUAUGUACCUGCAGUUUCUGAGAGAUUUACAUGACCCACCAAAGUUAAAUUGGGGAGCAGCAGUUCUAGCUGUCCUGUACCGAUCUUUGUCAACUGCUGCCCAGAGCAAAACUAUCUGUAUCACUUGCCCGUUAAUGCUACUGCAGAUGUGGUCAUGGACUCGUCUCAAUGUCAGUCGACCCAUACCCAAAGAUCCAUUCACAUCAUGGGGAUUGGCAGAUCUUGAGUCUUGUCAACCAUAUGGGAGAUGUUGGACAGGUGCUCUUAAAUUCCCCAAUAGUCCACACAAUGCUGGGAUGGGCAGCCCUCGAGACGAACUUAAUGCUAUACUUGAUGAAUUUGUGAAUUGGUUACCAUAUGAAAGGUGCAUCUCUCUUUUGCCAGCUGUGGUGCAAACAGAUAGUGAGAUUUGGACAGCGAAAAUACCACUCAUUCACUUCUGGAUAGUGGAAACGCAUUAUCCUGACAGAGUCAUGCGUCAGUUUGGGUUAUUUCAGCACAUUCCACCUCCAGAUCCUCUUAGCUGGGACAUCCACCUUAGUCUUCAUAAUAGAGUAACCCGCUUAUCAGCGGAAGGUACAAAUUGGGCAGAGAAAUGGGAGGAAUACAUCAGGCCAUGGGAAAAGGCCAAGAGACCAAUUGGUGAAUGAGGUGCGGCAGUAUGAUAUUACCACUAGACCAACAUACUUGAAGUGGUUUGGACAGUUUGGCAAGCGUAAUGUUUUUUGAAAGCAUUAUCAUGUGAGGCAUGUAGAUGAACCCCAGCCUUUGCCAUCUGAUCCAGUCGAUUCUAUUACAUAUGUGCAGCAUGGCGAUAAAUGGGCACGGCAGAGUUUCAGGGCUUUCAAGGAAGCAGUGCUUGGGAUAAACCUUGUUAUAAGAGGAAUGAUAUCUGAUGGAAAGAUUCUGUUGAAAUCAUGUCGAGGCCACUUCAUUGAUCUUGGGGAGGGUGACAAAUUUGACCGCUUACUCCAGGAAGCGGGACUGCCUUUUGACAUAGACUCGAUAGCAACUGAUAGAGAGCCUCUUUCAGGAAUCCAGACAUUACAAUUCACAGACGAAGAGUAUCAUGCUUUGUACAACUCACAGAUAUCCUUGAUGGAUUUAAUAAGACGAAAAGAAACUGGUUGGCUUAAUAGUUCAGGCUCCGAGUUUCUAGGCAACAAGUUCACUCUUGAUUUUCCAGAGAACGAGAUUAAUGUGAUAAACUGUAGAUUGGAUCCAGCAGGACUAUGUCAUAAUGAUUCCAGGAAUGGACCAAUUUGUCCUCUAGCUCCACCAGCUACAGAGUCAUUAGCAGCUGAUAAAACUUUGCUUCCAUCUGAGGUUGAACAGGCCUGCCAAACUAUACCAACUCUGGCAUGUUCUCCCAACAAGCCUGUCCGUUGGCCCAAAGAUGACAUAUUAACACGAGAAUGGGUGGCUGACUUUUCCAACAUGCUUGAUUGGUCCUCCCGCAACCUCCCUCCUCAACAACUUCCUGAUGUCCUCCCCUUCUCAGUUGUCCAAAAGCUUGUGCUCACUGCCUCAAACCUCCUUCACCGUGAACCGAAUUGCAUUCAAGUUGAUCCUCGAGCUGACCAAACUGUUACCAUUGUUGGUGAUAUCCAUGGUCAGCUCCAUGGUGCCAUCCUCCUCCUCCAAGCUGCAGGAUUUCCAUCUGAAAGCCGCAUUUUUGUGUUCAAUGGUGACUACGUAGACCGUGGCUCCUGGGGCCUUGAAACUUUCCUUCUCCUCCUGGCAUGGAAGGUCUUUCUACCAAACUCUGUGUUUCUCCUCCGUGGCAAUCAUGAAUCAAAGUACUGCACUUCAGUUUAUGGUUUCAAAAACGAACUUUUCACCAAAUAUGUAGAUGAUGGCAGCCAAAUCUAUCAGCUAGUUUUGAAAUGCUUCCAAGACCUUCCUUUGGCAUCAGUUGUAGCUGGAUGUGUUUAUACAGCUCAUGGAGGGCUCUUCCGUGGUAUGAUGAACAUGCCACAGAAAAAGCACAAACGAGUCCGUAAAUGCACAGCUAAUUCCAGCAUUGUCCCAUCUACCCUCAAGCUUGGAUCCUUAGAAGACCUGUCAAAGGCAAGAAGGAAUGUGCUUGAUCCUCCAUGGAAAGGCUCUAAUCUAAUUCCUGGCGAUAUUCUUUGGUCUGAUCCUUCAGUAGAGAUGGGUCUUUCGCAGAAUGAAGCAAGGGGUGGUCUUGGUUUAUUAUGGGGUCCUGAUAUGACUGAGAAGUUUAUGCUGGAAAACAAUCUCAAGCUCAUUGUUAGGUCCCAUGAAGGACCAGAUGCAAGGGACCAGCGUAUUGAUCUUUCAGGAAUGAAUAAUGGAUUCACAAUUGAUCAUCAGGUGAAUUCUGGGAAGUUGAUUACUGUUUUCGGUGCACCUGAUUAUCCACAGUUUCAGGCUUCAGAGGAACGGUACAAUAACCUCGGAGCAUAUCUAGGGAUGCAAGUCCCACAUUUUUGGGGUCAUUGGGUCGACCCAAAAUUUGAUAAAAUGAACUAGAGUGGCAUGCUACGUAAUUAAUUUAGGAGAAAAAAUGAACUAACAUGAGAAACCCAAAAACACCAAUGGGUACCCACUUGCAUCCCUAAGCAUAUCUUGUGCUCCGUGCUCCAGAUUUUGCCACACCAAUGUUCUGCAGCUUUGAGUCUGUCAAACCGCGCCUAGAGGCGCCUGCAUACUACGACUACAAGGAAGUGAUGGACUCCGAUGAAGAACUUGAUUAUUCUGCCAUGGAUCGAGAUUGAAGAUGCAUGCAUCACGUAUUCUACUUUGCAGAAGACCGGUCGUUCUCACCACUGCAGAAGACCGGAGGACUACCCCCUUUGGCCUUUGCAGCAGAAAAUGGGACACUGGUCACCUCGGGACUGUACAGGAUGAUCAAUGCAAGCAGAGACCCAAGUCAGCAGACAAAAAACACUUUCUGGAACUCGAGAGCACCACCCCGGGUCCAAUUCUUCACCUGGUUGCUCCUACAUGGCAGCCUACAAUGCAAAACAAAUCUCUUCCAGAAAAAAUAUCGUUGAUGUUACUUGUGAUCUUUGUACGGGGCACCUGAGACUGUGGAGCAUUUGCUGUUCUUCUGCCCCUUUUCAGCGUCCUUUUGGGAGCGUCUGGGCGUCCAAGUGAGAUCGGAUGCCACCGAACGCGACCAGCUCCAUCGCCACAGGCCGGAAACUCUGUCGAUGGCUCACUAGACACCUUUAUCCUGCUGUGCUGUUGGCAACUGUGGAAGCGGCGCAAUGUGGGAUUGUUUUCUGGCAGGAGAUCAUGUCCCCCGCAACCAUCGCCCAUCGGUGGAGAUUCUUACGACGACCGGGCUCUGCUAUGUUGGGCGGCGCACGGAUCAUCGGCGCUCAGCGCGUCGAGGAUCGGAGGAGAAACAGGAACAGCGGCCGAGCGCGAUUUAACGGCCACAUGAGGCGCAGGGAGUGGACGGUAAUUCAAACACGGUCCACCCGGUCCGGUCGCGGUCGGUAUCUUCUUUUAUUUUAGGGUUAAUUGGAUUGGUACCAUUACAAUUUUCACAAAUUAGAAAUAUACUAUUAUAAUUCACCAUAUUGAAGAUA